rnacentral:lncRNA from 1 species
AUCUAUAUGCUCACACUCAACUUAAAAUUGAAGAAUCAUAUUACUCUUGUUGCUAUUGCAGUUUAAAUUACCUGGCAGCUCUUUUUUGCUCAUAUUUAAUAAAAGGUAACCAGCCUCUUCUGUCAAAACAAUGUUUUUCAGUUAAAAUUGAAGUAAUUAUGGGAGAAGAAACCAUAUAAAAUCUGGACGAAAGGAUAUUUGAAAGUCAGAAUUAAAAUUAAAACGAAAACAUACCUGGGAUAUUUCCACUUCCACUCUCAAACGCAGAAAAAAGUAUAAAAGAAUCAUCAAAUCCACAAAAACUGUUGUUAUCUACUUCUGCUAGGUCCUACUCUCGCAACUAUGUGCUAGUACAAACCUAUACCAUUAUUCGAACGAAAGUUAAUAAUAAACUUUCAGCAUAGAAUCCUACUAUGUUGUCAAAUUGAUAAUGCCGCUAACUGUAACUUUACCAGGGUUCCAUUCUCUCUGACCACAUGAAAACAUUCAUCUUCAAAAGGCAGAUCUUUGAAUGUCAGCUUCUAGCACUUUAAUUCCUGACAACCAUAGCACAAAAAAAAAAAGAAAAAAAAAAAGAUAUAAUCUGAAAUGAGAAGUGUAUUGCAUUACCACUUCAAUCAAAUUGCAAAUUAACAGCUAAAUAGUUUCGCUCUAAAAAAUACCAUCAUUGAAACCAGGCAUUAAAUAACCGCAAAAUUGUUUAAAACAAAAAAUACUUCCAG